GGACCCGCACAAGUAGUGGAGCAUGUGGUUUAAUUCGAAGAUACGCGCAGAACCUUACCAACACUUGACAUGUUCGUCGCGACUUUAAGAGAUUAAAGUUUUCGGUUCGGCCGGACGAAACACAGGUGCUGCAUGGCUGUCGUCAGCUCGUGUCGUGAGAUGUUGGGUUAAGUCCCGCAACGAGCGCAACCCUCACUUUUAGUUGCCAUCAUUAAGUUGGGCACUCUGAAAGAACUGCCAGUGAUAAGCUGGAGGAAGGUGGGGAUGACGUCAAGUCAUCAUGCCCCUUAUGUCCAGGGCUGCACGCAUGCUACAAUGGCAAGUACAACGAGUCGCAAUACCGCGAGGUGGAGCAAAUCUCUUAAAGCUUGUCUCAGUUCGGAUAGGAGUCUGCAACUCGACUCCUUGAAGUUGGAGUCGCUAGUAAUCG
rnacentral:rRNA from 1 species